UACGGAGGGUGCGAGCGUUAAUCGGAAUUACUGGGCGUAAAGCGUGCGUAGGCGGCACGGUCAGUCGGAUGUGAAAGCCCCGGGCUUAACCUGGGAAUUGCAUUCGAUACUGCCGAGCUAGAGUAUGUUAGAGGAAAGUGGAAUUCCCGGUGUAGCGGUGAAAUGCGUAGAUAUCGGGGGAAGAAUCACG
rnacentral:rRNA from 1 species